UACGUAGGCAGCAAGCGUUGUUCGGAAUUACUGGGCGUAAAGGGUUCGUAGGCGGUGCGGCAAGUCGGGAGUGAAAUCUCUGGGCUUAACUCAGGGGCUGCUUCCGAAACUGCCGUGCUUGAGUGCGGGAGAGGCGAGUGGAAUUGCAGGUGUAGCGGUGAAAUGCGUAGAUAUCUGCAGGAACACCUGUGGCGAAAGCGGCUCACUGGACCACAACUGACGCUGAGGCGCGAAAGCUAGGGGAGCAAACAGG
rnacentral:rRNA from 1 species